AAGAGACAGCAGCCGCCGCGGUAAUACAGAGGAUGCAAGCGUUAUCCGGAAUGAUUGGGCGUAAAGCGUCUGUAGGUGGCUUUUCAAGUCCGCCGUCAAAUCCCAGGACUCAACCCUGGACAGGCGGUGGAAACUACCAAGCUAGAGUACGGUAGGGGCAGAGGGAAUUUCCGGUGGAGCGGUGAAAUGCGUUGAGAUCGAAAAGAACACCAACGACGGAAGCACUCUGCUGGGUCGACACUGACACUGAGAGACGAAAGCUAGGGGAGCAAAUGGGAUUAGAUACCCCCGUAGUCCCUGUCUCUUAUAC
rnacentral:rRNA from 1 species